GAUGAACGCUGGCGGCGUGCCUAAUACAUGCAAGUCGAGCGAACAGACGAGGAGCUUGCCCCUCUGACGUUAGCGGCGGACGGGUGAGUAACACGUGGAUAACCUCCCUAUAAUACUGGGAUAACUUCGGGAAACCGGAGCUAAUACCGGAUCAUAUAUUUAACCGCAUGGUUCAAUAGUGAAAGACGGUUUUGCUGUCACUUAUAGAUGGAUCCGCGCCGCAUUAGCUAGUUGGUAAGGUAACGGCUUACCAAGGCAACGAUGCGUAUCCGACCUGAGAGGGUGAUCGGACACACUGGAACUGAGACACGGUCAGGACUCCUACGGGAGGCAGCAGUAGGGAAUCUUCCGCAAUGGGCGAAAGCCUGACGGAGCAACGCAGCGUGAGUGAUGAAGGUCUUCGGAUCGUAAAACUCUGUUAUUAGGGAAGAACAAAUGUGUAAGUAACUAUGCACGUCUUGACGGUACCUAAUCAGAAAGCCACGGCUAACUACGUG
rnacentral:rRNA from 1 species